rnacentral:rRNA from 1 species
AGAACGAACGCUGGCGGCGUGGAUAAGACAUGCAAGUCGAACGCGAUUUAUCAGGUUAGCAAUAACUUGGUAAAUUGAGUGGCGAAAGGGUGCGUAACACGUGGGAAUUUACCGAGAAGUGGGGAAUAGCUCGACGAAAGUCGAAUUAAUACCGCAUACGAUCGAAAGAUCAAAGCCGGGGACCGCAAGGCCUGGCGCUUUUUUGAGAAGCCCGCGGCCCAUCAGCUAGUUGGCGGGGUAAAAGCCCACCAAGGCUAUGACGGGUAGCUGGUCUGAGAGGACGACCAGCCACACUGGAACUGAGACACGGUCCAGACACCUACGGGUGGCAGCAGUCGAGAAUUUUUCACAAUGGACGAAAGUCUGAUGGAGCGACGCCGCGUGGAGGAUGAAGGUUCUUGGAUUGUAAACUCCUGUCACUGCAGAACAAGGAUACGUGUGUGAAUAGCAUGCGUAUUUGAUGGUAUGCGGAGAGGAAGGGACGGCUAACUCUGCGACCG